AGAGUUUGAUCAUGGCUCAGAACGAACGCUGGCGGCGUGGAUAAGACAUGCAAGUCGAACGGGAUUUCAUUUGUAGCAAUACCGAUGAAAUCUAGUGGCGAACGGGUGCGUAACACGUGAGCAAUCUGCCGGGAAGUGGGGGAUAACUCGCCGAAAGGCGAAUUAAUACCGCAUAUGGCCAGGAAGGACAUCCUUCCGAAGCCAAAGUCGCAAGACGCUUCCUGAUGAGCUCGCGGCCUAUCAGCUAGUUGGUGAGGUAAUGGCUCACCAAGGCUAUGACGGGUAGCUGGUCUGAGAGGACGACCAGCCACACUGGAACUGAGACACGGUCCAGACACCUACGGGCGGCAGCAGUCGAGAAUUUUUCACAAUGGGGGAAACCCUGAUGGAGCGACCCCCCGNGGAGGAUGAAGGUUUUCGGAUUGUAAAACUCCUGUCAUGUGGGGAACAAGAAAGUGAUAGUACCACAAGAGGAAGAAAACGGCUAACUCUGUGGCCGCAGCCGCGGUAAUACAGAGGUCUCAAGCGUUGUUCGGAUUUCAUUGGGCGUAAAGGGUGCCCAGGCUGUGGGGUAAGUCCGAUGCCAAAUUUUAAGGCUCCACCCCCUAACUGCUUUCGAUACUGCUCCGCUAGAAGGAUGUAAAGGAAAAUGGAAUCACCGGGUACAGUGAAAUGCGUNAAAAUCUGAGGAAAAACAGUGGCNAAGCNAAUCUCCGGGCAUUACCUGNCGCUCAUGC
rnacentral:rRNA from 1 species